AUUGAACGCUGGCGGCAGGCCUAACACAUGCAAGUCGAGCGGAGCGGCGGACGGGUGAGUAAUGCCUAGGAAUCUGCCUGGUAGUGGGGGAUAACGUCCGGAAACGGGCGCUAAUACCGCAUAAUAUCAGAUGAGACUAGGUCGGAGUAGCUAGUUGGGGGGGUAAAGGCCUACCAAGGCGACGAUCCGUAACCGGUCUGAGCGGAUGAUCAGUCACACUGGAACUGAGACACGGUCCAUACUCCUACGGGAGGCAGCAGGGGGGAAUAUUUGACAAUGGGCGAAAUCCUGAUCCAGCCAUGCCGCGUGUGUGAAGAAGGUCUUCGGAUUGUAAAGCACUUUAAGUUGGGAGGCGUUACCAACAGAAUAAGCACCGGCUAACUUCGUGCCAGCAGCCGCGGUAAUAC
rnacentral:rRNA from 1 species